rnacentral:rRNA from 1 species
AUUGAACGCUGGCGGCAGGCCUAACACAUGCAAGUCGAGCGGAUGAAGGGAGCUUGCUCCUGGAUUCAGCGGCGGACGGGUGAGUAAUGCCUAGGAAUCUGCCUGGUAGUGGGGGAUAACGUCCGGAAACGGGCGCUAAUACCGCAUACGUCCUGAGGGAGAAAGUGGGGGAUCUUCGGACCUCACGCUAUCAGAUGAGCCUAGGUCGGAUUAGCUAGUUGGUGGGGUAAAGGCCUACCAAGGCGACGAUCCGUAACUGGUCUGAGAGGAUGAUCAGUCACACUGGAACUGAGACGCGGUCCAGAUUCCUACGGGAGGCAGCAGUGGGGAAUAUUGGACAAUGGGCGAAAGCCUGAUCCAGCCAUGCCGCGUGUGUGAAGAAGGUCUUCGGAUUGUAAAGCACUUUAAGUUGGGAGGAAGGGCAGUAAGUUAAUACCUUGCUGUUUUGACGUUACCAACAGAAUAAGCACCGGCUAACUUCGUG